rnacentral:lncRNA from 1 species
GCGGGAUGUGACAUUCCCUCGUGGUCAGUGAGGCAUGCUGUCCUGGCUAUGACGAUUGGGAGGAUGUGAAACUGAAGCUGGGUGCUGGCGAAUCAUGGAGGCAGCUGGGAACCUCAGUGUCUCAGGCUCAGUUCCUCAGCUGGGAAUGAGAAAAGGGUGUGGCUUAGGAGAGGGCCAGGCGUCUCAAGUGGCUAAAGAAUAAAUGCAUGAAAAUUAAGAGCCAGCUCUGCCUGCGAAAGAGAACAGGAGCAAGCUGGCUGUUGGCUGUCAUCUGGAGUCACCUACUGGGAAGUGCCGAAUCACCCCAGACCAAGGACAGGAAGGAGGCUUGGUCUUCUGGUUGAGUGAGGAAGAGGUUUCAGUUUGGUGAUGGCAACGUCCUUAAGACUUCACUUGCUUCCCUCUCUCUGUUCUUUUGAGAGCGGGUCUCCACCAAGCAUUUUAGCAGGGUCUCACUCUGUCACCCCAGGCUGGAGUGCAGUGGCAGGAUGGCAGCUCACUGCAGCCUCGACCACCCUGGCUCAAGCUAUCCUCCCACCUCAGCCUAAGAGAAACUCUUGGAACGGAAAACCAAAUACCACAUAUCCUCAGUUAUAAGUGGGAGCUAAAUGAUGAGAACACGUGGACACAAAGAGGGGAACAGCAGACACCGAGGCCUACUUGAGGGUGGAAGUUGGGAGGAGGGAGAGGAGCAGAAAAGAUAACUUUUGGGUACUGGGCUUAAUACCCGGGUGAUGAAAUAAUCUGUACAACAAACCCCCAUGAGAUGAGUUUUCCUGUGUAACACCGAACCUAAAAUAAAAG